rnacentral:lncRNA from 1 species
GUCUGGGGCUUGGUGCUUCUAAAUGCUGCCAGGAGCUGCGCUGGGCAAAGGAUGCCACGGCUGGCACAGGGUGCACGCCACUCAGAGUUUCAUCGACAAAAGUCUCCCUCCCCCUGGCCCUGGGCGCGCUCCACCGAGGGGAGAGCUGGCCAGGCUGUCCCUCCACGGGGCAGCUGGGCCCAGCCCGAAGCGUGGAGAAGCGUGGAGAGCAGAGGCCUAGGACCGGCAGCGCGCAUCGCCUCGGGCCAGGCCUGGGCUCUCUCUGCAGCCGCAAAGGGACAGCAGCUGAGCGCUCUGCGGCAGAGGACGGCUGGGGCCCCUCCACUGCACACAUGUCCCCACCGAGCAGCCUGUUGUCCCCUCGGCAUCAACCCCACGGCCCGCCUGGACAGGAGGCCUGAGCUGGGCCGUGGCUGGGGCGGACGCCUGGCUGAAAGAAGCCCUGCUGCUCCUCAAGGCUUCUCACAUCUUCUUUUCCACUGCUUGGAUCUGGACUCAAUAAGCUCUUUUGUGCGCUGACGCCUAAAGGCUAUGCAGAGUGCCCCCCAAAUAAUGAAUAAACAUUGUCCGAAACUGCACGCACACCUUGGGGAGCUUUGUCAAUGUGCCCAUUGUCUUUGCUGCCAGCACAGGCAUUUCCUGUCACGUAGGGGCCACUGAUGCGGUCAACAAUCAACCACAAUCAACUUUUAGUUGUGCAACUCCCAGCACUGGGGAUGGGGAGUCCAGAGAAAAGCUUCCGCCUGCCUCGGAGUUCAUGUGCAAAGAAGGAAACAGUGGGGACGGGCAAAGGGUCCGUGU